rnacentral:rRNA from 1 species
UCAGACGAUGCGUCAUGCAUAUCAAUAAGCGGAGGAAAAGAAACUAACAAGGAUUCCCCUAGGUAACGGCGAGUGAAGCGGGAAGAGCUCAAAUUUGAAAUCUUAAAGGGUUUCCCUUUACGAAUUGUAGUUUAAAGAAGUGUUUUUUUUCUGUUGAGGUUUUGGUAAAAGUUCUUUGGAAUAGGACAUCAUAGAGGGUGAGAAUCCCGUAUUUGACCUUUACUUUCAACUUUGUGAUACACUUUCAAAGAGUCGGAUUGUUUGGGAAUGCAGUCCAAAAUGGGUGGUAAAUUUCAUCUAAAGCUAAAUAUUGGCGAGAGACCGAUAGCGAACAAGUACCGUGAGGGAAAGAUGAAAAGAACUUUGAAAAGAGAGUUAAACAGUACGUGAAAUUGUCAAAAGGGAAGCGUUUGACACCAGUGUUGUUUUUCUGAAAAUCAAUUAAAGAACUGUUUAUGCUAAGUUGUUUAGACUUUAUCAGCUAACUGUUUAGUUUUGAGCUUUUCUUUAAUGCACUUUUCAGUUAACAAGUCAACAUCAAUUUCUUUUGCUGUAAAAAAGCUUGAGGAAGGUGGCUUGAGAUUCGUCUUAAGUGUUUAUAGCCUCUUGCCUAUGCAGUCGGAGAGAUUGAGGUCUGCAGCGUAGAUCCUUCGGGGCUAAAUGCAUUUGUGCUAAGUUAUAGCAUUUUAUAGACAACUUGUUGACUAUGAUUUGUCUUGUAGCUUACUCGCUUAUGUUAUUUUACCUACGCUUAGGAUGUUGACACACGCGCGUGCUCG